GCAGACACAUUCCAGCCAAUCAGCAGCAGACCCUCCCUCCCAGACCCUCCCACCUCCUGGACAGCAUCCAUUUUACAUUCAUUGUGAAGCUGCAUUCUUAGUCAGCUGUCCAGGAGGUGGGAGGGUCUGGGAGGGAGGGUCUGCUGCUAAUUGGCUGGAAUGUGUCUG
rnacentral:miRNA from 1 species